UGGGGAAUUUUGGACAAUGGGGGAAACCCUGUUCCAGCCAUCCCGCGUGUGCGAUGAAGGCCUUCGGGUUGUAAAGCACUUUUGGCAGGAAAGAAACGUCAUGGGUUAAUACCCCGUGAAACUGACGGUACCUGCAGAAUAAGCACCGGCUAACUACGUGCCAGCAGCCGCGGUAAUACGUAGGGUGCAAGCGUUAAUCGGAAUUACUGGGCGUAAAGCGUGCGCAGGCGGUUCGGAAAGAAAGAUGUGAAAUCCCAGAGCUCAACUUUGGAACUGCAUUUUUAACUACCGGGCUAGAGUGUGUCAGAGGGAGGUGGAAUUCCGCGUGUAGCAGUGAAAUGCGUAGAUAUGCGGAGGAACACCGAUGGCGAAGGCAGCCUCCUGGGAUAACACUGACGCUCAUGCACGAAAGCGUGGGGAGCAAACAGG
rnacentral:rRNA from 1 species